UGGGGAAUAUUGCACAAUGGGCGCAAGCCUGAUGCAGCCAUGCCGCGUGUGUGAAGAAGGCCUUCGGGUUGUAAAGCACUUUCAGCGAGGAGGAAGGUGGUGGACUUAAUACGUUCAUCAAUUGACGUUACUCGCAGAAGAAGCACCGGCUAACUCCGUGCCAGCAGCCGCGGUAAUACGGAGGGUGCAAGCGUUAAUCGGAAUUACUGGGCGUAAAGCGCACGCAGGCGGUUUGUUAAGUCAGAUGUGAAAUCCCCGGGCUCAACCUGGGAACUGCAUUUGAAACUGGCAAGCUAGAGUCUCGUAGAGGGGGGUAGAAUUCCAGGUGUAGCGGUGAAAUGCGUAGAGAUCUGGAGGAAUACCGGUGGCGAAGGCGGCCCCCUGGACGAAGACUGACGCUCAGGUGCGAAAAGCGUGGGGAGCAAACAGGAUUAGAUACCCCUGGUAGUCCACGCUGUAAAACGAUGUCGAUUUUGGAGGUUGUGCCCUUGAGGCGUGGNUUCCGGAGCUAACGCGUUAAAUCGACCGCC
rnacentral:rRNA from 1 species